UCUCUCCUCUCUCUCUCUCUCUCUCUCUCUCCUCUUUCUCGCUCUUACGUCUCACCACCACCUCUGUCUCUCCCUCACGGCGGCCUCCGCCACAGAUUUCAAUGGCUCCUAUCUUAGCCGGGAACAACCGCCUAUUUUUUAGCUGCUUUCCUCUCUCACAACCACGAACAAGGUAGCCCACUAGGUCAAGACCUUUUCAACCAGUCAGGAUGUCAUUAGCUUCUACAAAAUAAUGGAGGAUAUCCACACCACACGUCCACGUUGCCACCUACCAUGUAACUCAAGUACAUCAAGUUCUCCAGCCAACCCUGGAAGAAUGUGCUAUCGGUCUCUAGGUUCUAUUUGUUUCAGAGGUGCAACGAAUGAGUAGAAGGGUUGAACUACAAUGUGAACUUGAGGCAUCAUAACAUACAACAAAGGAAUCAAUCACAAGCAUCGUAAGAACAACCCAUGGUCAAGCCCGAACCGAUGAUCAUUCAAGAGCGAAUUGUUGAUGCUCUAUGGUUUAUAAAACUAUUUCUAUUUUUUGUGUGUGUAACGAAUGCAUUUAUUUUCGUACAACUACUUCUAAAAUGUUUAUGAGGGGAAUAGAGUGGUGGUCCUGUAAUUCAAGAAACAGUUUCUUAUGAUAUUAGCGUGAAAGGCGAUGAACCUUUUUAUUGUUUGUUGCAAGAAAACGAGUUAUUAUUUGUUGUUA